CGUCUAUAUACGUAUAGCAUAUCAAUAAGCGGAGGAAAAGAAACUAACUAGGAUUCCCUCAGUAACGGCGAGUGAAGCGGGAAGAGCUCAAAUUUGAAAUCUUCAAGGUUCUACCUUGACGAAUUGUAGUUUAAAGAAGUGUUUUCUGUUGGAGUUUUGGUAAAAGUUCUUUGGAAUAGGACAUCAUAGAGGGUGAGAAUCCCGUAUUUGACCAUUACUUCCAGCGUUGUGAUACGCUUUCAAAGAGUCGGAUUGUUUGGGAAUGCAGUCCAAAAUGGGUGGUAAAUUUCAUCUAAAGCUAAAUAUUGGCGAGAGACCGAUAGCGAACAAGUACCGUGAGGGAAGGAUGAAAAGAACUUUGAAAAGAGAGUUAAACAGUACGUGAAAUUGUCAAAAGGGAAGCGUUUGACACCAGUGUUGUUUUCUCGAAAAUCAAUUAAAAAUGGCAGGAUUUUGUGUUGUAUUGACUUUAUCAGCUUUCUGCACUUUUUUCCUGUCUUUUUUAAUGCACUUUUCGUUUAACAAGUCAACAUCAAUUUCUUUUGUUGUAAAAGGGUCAUUGGAAGGUGGCUUUCUUUUCGGAGAAAGUGUUUAUAGCCUUUGACUUCUGCAAUCGGAGAGAUUGAGGUCUGCAGCGUAGAUCCUUCGGGGUUAGAUACAUUUGUGCUAAGCUAUAGCCUUUCAUAGACAACUUGUUGACUAUGAUCAGUCAUGUAGCUUACUCGCUUAUGUCAUUUUACCUACGCUUAGGAUGUUGACGAUCAGCUGAGCGCG
rnacentral:rRNA from 1 species